UUUUUUUUUUUUCCUUUUUGCUUUUUUGACCAUGGUUGUAUCCUCCCGAGCUCUGUCCUGGAGAGUUUGGACGGGGGGACCUGAAGGGGUCAGCAGCUACCGUGCCGGUUGACAAGCAGGGCUCUUCGUUUUUACCCCUUUAGUUUUGUUUUGUUUCUGAGGCCAAGAGGGCUGUUUGAUUUCCAGGGGAGGAGAGGAGGAGGGCUUAGAGGCUCAGGUUUGGUGUGUUAGGGAUGACUUGCCACAUCCCUGCGAGCCCUUCCUAUGCUGUCUCCCCAGGGAAGGAAAUCCAGGCUUCAGUCCUUCCCUUUCAGGCACGGCGGAGUGAGAGGGGAACUCGUAAGGUGCUAAAAAUGCAGCUUUCCAGUUUUCAAGGAGGGGUUGCAACCUUGGCAAAAGCCUUCCUGGAAAGGGACCCUGCACCCUUCUCUUUCUUCCACUCUUUGGUUUCCUUUGUGCAGCUGCUGCUCCUGGUGAGGAGCUGGAAAGGUGCGUGGCUGCAGUGGGAGCAGCACAAACUAAUAACAAAAUUCCUUACAGGGUGAAAUGGAGCCAUUUUCUACAAUACGAGUGUCUGUGAAAGCACUUAAAUACCUUGGACCUUCAUUGCGCCCUUAUUUCUUCUUUUCUUUACCCCCCCCGCCUCAAUUUCAUUUUAAUUAAUAUGCAAAGACAUUUUUCAUUUUUCCUCCUUGCAUCUUUUUGCUGGUGAAUUUAUCCAGAGCUGUUCUGUGGUUCUACUCCCUUGUUUGAAUGAGCUUAUGCACAGUAGGAGAACGACUUUCAUUGUCCAAAAAUCAACCUUACUUGCUCUCCCCUCUGUGAGGGAUAAGGCCAGGCCUGGCUGCCGUCAGACUGGCUGCCUGCUGGCGAUGUUUUCCACAAGGCUGCUGGGCUGUCCCCCAUGACUUGUAAAGGGAAGAGUUUUGGACUAAUAACUAACUCAGUGACAUAAUUUUGGCCUUGAAAGUGAUCUGGGCUAGUUUUCUUCUGGUGAACUUUUUUGCUACUUGUAAUCCCAUAAAAGGCGUCUAUUUUUGGCUGCUGCUUUGUUAUGGGAAGAGGAUAUGACAGCAGCAAGAGUGAAGUAUUCAGGCAGUUUUCGUGUUAUUUUUGUCUCUGCGUUUUUCGAUGUCAAGGAGAAGCUGCAGCAGUGUGGGGAGGUACAGCAUAUCUGCUUCAGUGAGUUUGGUACUGAGGCGGUGUAAACUGGAUCAGAAAGUGCUGCAGGAGACAAGCUACGUCGGUAGAACCAGCUUGAGGUGCAGCCAGGAUGUCUUUCUGGCCAGAAAACGUGUUACUCCUAACAACCUACCAGCCUACACCUCCCAAAACCGAGUGCGUGAGUGCUUGUACUUCCCCACGACUGAGCACCGUUUUGAAGGGAUGCCAGAGACAGCAUAGCUAAGCUCCACACAACAGGAGAGGAGCAUCUGUCAGCCCCUGCUGCCUAGCUGCGUUCUCCCCUUUGCCCAUAGGAGCCUGCUUCAGUCAAAGCACCAGGACUGUGGUGGAUGGAAAAGAAAAUUGAAUUCCGGAAUGAGGAAUCUCUACUGAUCGUACCUUUUCCCAGGCUCUGGACAUUCCAACCCAGAUACCUGCAACCAAGAAACUUCACAGCGGAUUUUGACAAUUUAGCAGAGUGAUGGACUCUCUCAGGUUUUUUAAUUGUUCACGAAUGUGCCAUCUAAGAUCUGAAGAGCAAGUGGUGAAAAACUCUUAAGAAGUGUUGAACUAGAUAACUUCUGUAAGUCAUUUGUAUCCAUUUGCUUUACAACACUGAUACAUGUUUGCAAGUAGAUGUUACCUAGCAUCCUCCCUGCACCAUUCACUGCAGAGUAAUAACAGUGAGGAUAUGAGACUUUCUUCUACAUUCCUAUUUAAAUACACUAUAAUAAGCUACAAGGGCAAACAUAAAUGUUUAUUGCUGCAAUCUGCAGCCCAUUCAUCCAAAUUUCAUUAUUUUUAUGACCUUUUUUGUAGCAGUUGGGUGUGAUGGUUGUAAAAGCAGCAAACUUUGAGGCAAAGGAAUUGUCUAUAAAUUCUCAUUUACUUCUACCUGUUUUACUUCUGAUGAAGGGUCCUGACUGACAAAAUGGCAUGUAAUCUGUUUGGUCUAGAUGGAUGCUGCUUCACAGCUAAUAUCUUGAGAGGUUUUUGUGAACUCUGAGUCAAUAUGAAUGUCAGCAUGGGAAAUAUAUUUAAUCUUUCUGCACAGCUGUUUUUAUCAACCUUCUCCUCAAGCAUUAAUAAACAGCUGAUAAAGCUCUCAGUGGAAUUUGCCAUGAUGCAUACUGAAAUGGGUUUGCCCAACAUGUCCCUUCUGUUACCUAGUAGAAGUUUAAUGUUUUAAACUGGUAAGAGAAUUUGAGAAGUCUUAGAAAAAAACAGGAGUGGUUUAGAGGUGGUAAGAGUUCUGACCUUAGCCCAUCAUCUCAUGUCAAAUGAGAAGACAACUCAUUUCACUGAAAGCAAGAUCAUUUUUUAAGACCGGGCUGAAGUUUGCAAUUUGAUAAUUUUUAUCAACAGCUGAGCUGCUUCAGGUGGAAUCUCUGACUCACAAACUGGGGGGCUGUGAGGGCAAAGCACUCCCAACCAGGCUGUAAGCUCAGAAGGGAACCUGUUAGCAGAAUAACUUGGUAAAUGGUGUUCUAGUAAUGCUUUGGAAAGAAUGGGAUGAAAACUUCAUCCCCGUAAAAUCAAUAAGGGCAUUGCCAUUACCUUCAGUACAGUAGGAAUUUCAUGCUGCAGAGGGAGGAAUGUAAUUUCAGAGUGACUUCUCUGACAGCAGAGACUGCAUGCCCAUGAUUACCUAGAAAAUUAUUUUCUAGUGCUUGGGAAUUUCUGUUUUCAGUCAAAAUUACUUUCUAUGUGUAGACAAUAUUUGUUUAUGACACACUGCUAUAAAGGGUAGUCUUUGCUAUAUUUACCCAACAGAAGCGACACAGUGGGACAAAUAUGCUAUUGAGUAAAUGAUAUGUAGGGUGAAAAAUUCAUAUUGUCCUUUGGCUGAAAGAGCAUGUGAGUGUUACUGAUCUUUGUUCAUUGUAGUCAUUUUAGAACUUAAAAGAUACUGAGAGAGCACUUCAGUUCUGAAUGAUGUUGUUUGAGUGAAAAAAGGGUAGUAUUAUAAGUGAACUUAUGAAUCAGUAUUCUGUGGCCUUGAAAGUGAUAUCACAAGUGACAGAUGUUUUCCUUUGAACGUAUGGCCAUAUUAAUAAAUGUAAUAAAUGCAAGCCCUGGCAUGACUUCAUUGGAGGUACUCUGGAUUUGCCUCAGAGCAAAUUCACUGGAAAUUGUCCUCUGAUAUCCCUGGUUUGAACUUUCGUGUUAUUUUUUAAAUUUAAUUGUGGUUAUACAAAGGUGCUGUAAUGUGUCAGCUGUAGAAAGUAAAGCCUUUUAUUUGCAGAGAAGAUAGAAAUAAAGUGCUUGCUUUGCUUUCUAGCCUCCUUUCAGCUUUUGGUACGGGGGAUCAAGCAGAAUCUAAGAAUGGAACUAAGGCUUUGUUUUCAUCCUUUCCAUUGAAAAUGCGUGCAGUAAACCAUCUUCUUACAGAUGUGUUUCAUCUAUGCUACCUCUAUGUACUUGCUCAUUGCUGAAUAAAAUACAUGAGGGAAUUUUGUGGUGGAAGGCAUAUAGGUGAAAGAUGGAAUCAAGUACAAAUCGUAAUUUAAUACUAAACAUUUUGAAUGAUUUGUUAUAAAUGCUAAAUAAUGGAUACAACUUGCACCUAUUUAUAAGAUCAUUAGAGCACUGCAGUUUUGUAUAAUGUCACAACUAGUCAUUCUGUGGUUACAGCAUGGUUAUUUACCAGGAACAUGGGGAGGCAACCAAAAGAGUGAAUGUCCAGGUAGUGGGGUUGGGAGACAAACAUUUCUAUUUUGUCUGCACCAUAUUCAGGAUAUGCUGAAAUAGAUCUGUUACCAAGCCUUUAACAGUUGUAAGUUAGAAUCCAGGCCAGAGGACAGACAAUGUUUUUAUAUAUGUCAUCAAUAUGUAAUGAAUCAGUGGUGGCAAAAUCCGCUUUAUAGAAUACCAGUGUUCACUGUGUCAUAGUGGCCAUAACCAGACUGACUGGGUACUGAGCCUUAAACCUCUCACCCUUAGUUGAGAUUUGGUCUGUACUUCCAGUUGCCUGGGCUUCAUGUCCUAUGAGAAGAGAACUCCUUGCAAAUGCAUCAGGUAAAUUAGACAUGAAUACUGUACCUGACACACAAAAAUGGAUAUUAAAGACUGUUUUCCUUUUCACCAAAAGCAUUUGUUUCUAUUCCAGCAAUCUUCGUCUCUCUCAUACACAACUUUUAUUUAAUUUCCGACAAAAAGCACUCUGUGUACCCAUUUAAUCAAGGGAAUGAAAUAAGUCAGUACUUUUGAAUCAAAUUGUGAUAUAGUCAAAAAUAAAUACAGAUGUUUCUGAUAUCCAGUCUUCCCAGGUGGAUAACUGACAGUUUAGGAAAAUGUUAUUUUCUUGCACUGUUAAUAAUUUUUUUUAUUGAGUGUCAUAAUAGUUUUAUUUACUGAAUCAAACAUUGUAUUGACAGCAGGGAGCACAGUGCACUUCUUGUAAAGUCAGAUUGAAGAUUGUUAUUUAAAGCAGAAUCAAAGGCUUAUGAAGAAGACAUGGACUUAGCUCCCAUGAGGUGAUAAAGAAAAUUGCAUUGAGACAACAGAGCAGAAGGUUAGCUUACUGCACUCUGGAAUGGAGAGAUAUGAGAAGCAAAAGAGAACAGUAGUAAAUCACAAUGUUAAUAUCAUCAUGUUAUUUCGUGGAAUGACCUGGAAAAAAUAAUGGAAACAGAAAAGUACUAUGUCUUACACAUGCACUUGAAGCAUCUAUAGGGUGAUAGAAUGACCCAUAUGCUGAGCAUGGGCUUUAAAUAGAAAAAUGGGGGUAGGUGAGGUGCCCUGUUAAUUCCAGUAGUGACACCACCAACUCCACAAUAAACCUGCUUAUUAAAUGUUCUCCUGAAAGCAUGAAACUUACCUCUUUAUUCCCCCACAAUCACAGCAGCUUAAGAGCUUUCAAUAAGUUGAUUGUUCUGUGCACAGGAAGUCCUUAAAAUGGCUCUUCCAAAUAAAUAAAAAAAUAGCAACCAAAAGCUAAAAUGGAGACAUGAAGAAAAUGGAAGUUUCCUUUUUCAUCACGAUUUUAAAGCCAGCAGAGCGUCACUGGCAUGAGCUGAUGCCAUCUGGGAAAGAGGGUAGCUUCUCUUACAGGAUGUUAGACAGCAGCAACAGCUUGAAGUUGCUUGAAGGAACUCAAGAUAGACUGGAAGAGUUCUGUAAGCUAUGCCCAGCUGGCUUUGGCAAACAGUUCUCCAGAGAGAUGAGUUUGAAAGCCACUCCUUCAAUAUAAUGCAUGUAAACCAAAGAAGCAAUAUUCAAAGAUAGGGCAACUUUUUCUGCCCUUCAAAAGGCAGUGUGAUAGAGGUAUAACAGCACAGUAUCCUAAUCACCCAUGUGCACAUUCCCAUUGCAGAGACACAGGGAAAAAAGUCCCUGCAUUUGAUACCAGCAGAGGAUGAUAUCAUUCUCUUGAUACACUGAUCUAUCCCAGUACUGCAACUCUACUUCUCACAUUUUCUCUAUGAUCCAUAGAGUGAGGCAGAAUUUCCCAAUUAUAUGCUGCACUAAGUAACCCAAAUGCAGUAUUUGUAAAGUAAUUUUGUUCCAACCAUAUGUUAAAUAUUUUCUGACUGACAAAUUGUGUAUCAUUUCUCUAUUAUGAAUAUAUGAUUAUGUCUGGAAACUGCAUUUGUGCAUAUUCAUUGUAUCAUAUUGAUCACAAUGGGUAGAAGGCUAACAGAAUGCCUUUUCCAUAGAAACAGAAGGCUGUAGUGGAAACACUGAGUCUUUUCACAGUGAUAAAUGGUGCUGAGUCUGUGAUUGCUCUGCUUGUUCAGUCUCUGGAGGUAUCUUGCUAUGCUUGUUCAGUCUCCGGAGGCAUCUCUUCACAGUAAAAUUUCUACUAACAUUGUGCCCUUUACUUUUUCCUUUCAUCUGCUCAACAUUUUGGCUUCCAUAUUUUACACAAAGUAAAAACAUUGCAUCAUUUCUUUCCAAGAGUCCUUUUACUUGAAUCUCUAAGCCUGAAAUUUUAUAUUUGCAAGUACAGUAGUAGGAAGUCAUUCAAAGCAACUGAUAUAUAGCUGUACGAGAUCAAGGUCUGUUCUCAGUUACCCAUAAAAAUUCAGCAGUAAUUUAACUACACUAAUAUAUAGGUUUUUUGCUUUUUAGAGGAACUCAAAUUGAUUCAUAAAGGAGUUUGUCAGAAUUAGGAAUGCUAAGUAGCAGAACUCAUUGCUACAAGAUGUUGUGGGUGCCAAGAAUUUAUACGGACUUUUAGAGGAAUUAGAUGAAUUUAUGCAAGAAAAAAAAAUCAUCUGGGUUGGUACACCUAAAGAUACCACUUCUGGUGCAGGAAGUCCAUGACAUGCAGACUGUUGGAAGAUUGUUGGAAGUAUCGUGGAGAAGAGGCAGUGUGUGCCUGAUCUGCUCAGAGUCGUUUCUUCGUGCAUCCGCUACUGGCCAUUGCAGGAGGCAGGUCUUGAUGGAAACGUGCUCAGGCUGGGUAUGGCUGCUCUUAUGAAUCGCUUAAGGCAAACUCUAGGACAUACAAAGAGAACCCAGAUCUUCUCAUGCCAUAACUCAUGAUACAAGAACACAACAAUACUCCUUCUGUUUGGCAGAAAUGGGUGAGGACAGCCUUUCACCUCGUGUCAGGCCCUGAGGGCAUCCCUCACCCCCGUCUAGCAAUUGUACAGCUGGUGGUCAUGGGUGGAGAGCUGGGAGGCCUUAGAGAGGGUCUCUUGCCUCCUGUUCACCCAGGAUCUGGUUUUAAUCUCAGACUCUGUCUCUUUGGACCUCAAGCAAUGUUGCAGCUGCAUCACAGCCAUGCCCAUGCUUUGCUGUGGACCCUGCCAAUGCAUACACGGGCCCUGACCCAUGAAAGGACUUUGCAGCCUGACCUCAGACCUGCCUCAUCAACCACGGACUUGCCUAGUGACCUGGACUCCAGGCUGUGCCCAGCAACCCCCCUUCCCUUCUGCCCUGCACCCUGCAUGGGGGCAGUGGGAUGGGGCCUGGGUGGCGAGGCUAUGCCCCACCAGCCCGCGGAUACACAAUAGCUCACAGUUUCUCAUCUCUUAGCUUUCUCUCUCACUUCUUUGCUGCGCCUCACCAAUGUCUGUAGCCCACUGUGAGGUCUGAUACGCUGUGACCAGUUCGGUGACCCAAUCUGUGAUCUGUUCACCAUUGAGCAUUCCCCAAAUAAUGGAGAGGUUGGUGUUUUCUGCACUGUAUGUCUUUUGUAUAUCUUCAGCUGUGGGGCACAGCCACAUACCCCAGCUGUCACCCUCUACAUCACAUUGCCUCCUUGCCUCCUUGCCAUGUGAAUCUAGCACGUGUGGUUCCACACACUGGGAGAAAAGACAGUAGGUCUAAUAGUAAUAUUAUACUUAUAAUUCAGUUACAUCUUCACAGAGAUUCUCUUCCAGGAAUUUAUAAGGUUGAAAGUUACCAUGCCAAACACAAACAUUAGGGGUAUGUUUGUAUGUACAUGGCUGCCCAGUGAACUCCAGCAAUGAUGGUAAAGGGAUGAUAAAGUGACUAUGGCAUGUCUUGUUGGGGUUCUGUAGAUUUCCAGGGGUUUCUUUUGACUGUACACCGGAGAAGAUAAUCAAAUGGCCUGGGCUGAAACAUGCCUUAUGGUACAUUUGAGGCAAUGCUGGGUUAAUGAAGAAGCACACACCAGCAAUCAACAGAUUGUCCAUCAACAUACGCAGUGUUCAGAUUUGAGAAAAAUUAAUAACACUGCAUGCUUUGCAGUUGGAAUCUGUUCAUCACAUUUGACUCAUGAGAAAGAAAAUCUGUGGCAGGUUUUCUCUUCCUGCCUUCCUUCCUUGAGAAUUUAGUGUCAAAGGAAGCUAGGUUAGCAACCUUGUCAAAUGAUCCUUUCUGUGCAUAAGCACAUAAUUCAGGUUUCGUCACCCUUUCCUGUCAACAAGUUUCAGUGCUGUUGGUGAAGGAUCAUUUCUCUGUUACCUUCCGCCUGUGCUAGAAUUGAACCACGUCCAGGCUCAGGAUGAAAAAGUACAUAUAGUAAAUGAUUUAGACAAACUGCGUCCCUCAGAGAAGAACUAUCUUACGUUAAUAAAAUUUUAAAUGGUUAAUGUUGCAUCUGCUUUGUAAUUUGGUUCACUUAUAAUUUUUGUUUUAAUAAAAAAAAAUCAAUUUAUCGAU